rnacentral:piRNA from 1 species
UAGGAAGCCUGCUGGGGCAGCCAAGAA